rnacentral:lncRNA from 1 species
GCUCUGGUGUUGCCCCGCGGCGCAGCCUCCUGACGCCUGUCGCUUUGCUCCAGAUCAUCUGAAGUAAUGGGGAACGUUUAUUCUGGAGAAGAUUAAAAGCAUGAAGGAAAAGAUGGCCAUCUUCAAUAUUUGAAUGGCUGUUCAUUUGAGGGUCUGACGCUGGUGACGUUAAGAGUGCUUUUGCUUAUAAAGCACAUGGGCAAAAAAGGAUCUCUAUACUGUGGGAACUCCAUCCAGCAAUGCGGA